rnacentral:rRNA from 1 species
CCUACGGGGGGCAGCAGUGAGGAAUAUUGGUCAAUGGGCGGAAGCCUGAACCAGCCAAGUCGCGUGAGGGAUUAAGGCCCUGCGGGUCGUAAACCUCUUUUGCCGGGGAGCAGAGGUCCGGACGUGUCCGGGCCGGGAGAGUACCCGGAGAAAAAGCAUCGGCUAACUCCGUGCCAGCAGCCGCGGUAAUACGGAGGAUGCGAGCGUUAUCCGGAUUUACUGGGUGUAAAGGGUGCGUAGGCGGCUUGGCAAGUCAGUAGUGAAAUCCAUGGGCUUAACCCAUGAACUGCUAUUGAAACUGUCGAGCUUGAGUGAAGUAGAGGUAGGCGGAAUUCCCGGUGUAGCGGUGAAAUGCAUAGAUAUCACGCAGAACUCCGAUUGCGAAGGCAGCAUACCGGCGCCCGACUGACGCUGAGGCACGAAAGCGUGGGGAUCGAACAGGAUUAGAUACCCUAGUUGUC